AACAAGGCGUACCUGCGGACCUGCGGAGGGAUCAUUACCGAGUUUACAACUCCCAAACCCCUGUGAACAUACCUAUACGUUGCCUCGGCGGAUCAGCCCGCGCCCCGUAAAAAGGGACGGCCCGCCCGAGGACCCCUAAACUCUGUUUUUAGUGGAACUUCUGAGUAAAACAAACAAAUAAAUCAAAACUUUUAACAAUGGAUCU
rnacentral:misc_RNA from 1 species